AGUGAACGCUGGCGGUAGGCCUAACACAUGCAAGUCGAACGGCAGCACAGUAAGAGCUUGCUCUUACGGGUGGCGAGUGGCGGACGGGUGAGGAAUACAUCGGACUCUACUUUUUCGUGGGGGAUAACGUAGGGAAACUUACGCUAAUACCGCAUACGACCUACGGGUGAAAGCAGGGGAUCUUCGGACCUUGCGCGAUUGAAUGAGCCGAUGUCGGAUUAGCUAGUUGGCGGGGUAAAGGCCCACCAAGGCGACGAUCCGUAGCUGGUCUGAGAGGAUGAUCAGCCACACUGGAACGGAGACACGGUCCAGACUCCUACGGGAGGCAGCAGUGGGGAAUAUUGGACAAUGGGCGCAAGCCUGAUCCAGCCAUACCGCGUGGGUGAAGAAGGCCUUCGGGUUGUAAAGCCCUUUUGUUGGGAAAGAAAAGCAGCAGGUUAAUACCCCGCUGUUCUGACGGUACCCAAAGAAUAAGCACCGGCUAACUUCGUG
rnacentral:rRNA from 1 species